GAUGAACGCUGGCGGCGUGCCUAAUACAUGCAAGUCGAGCGAACGGACGAGAAGCUUGCUUCUCUGAUGUUAGCGGCGGACGGGUGAGUAACACGUGGAUAACCUACCUAUAAGACUGGGAUAACUUCGGGAAACCGGAGCUAAUACCGGAUAAUAUUUUGAACCGCGUGGUUCAAAAGUGAGAGACGGUCUUGCUGUCACUUAUAGAUGGAUCCGCGCUGCAUUAGCUAGUUGGUAAGGUAACGGCUUACCAAGGCAACGAUGCAUAGCCGACCUGAGAGGGUGAUCGGCCACACUGGAACUGAGACACGGUCCAGACUCCUACGGGAGGCAGCAGUAGGGAAUCUUCCGCAAUGGGCGAAAGCCUGACGGAGCAACGCCGCGUGAGUGAUGAAGGUCUUCGGAUCGUAAAACUCUGUUAUUAGGGAAGAACAGAUGUGUAAGUAACUGUGCACAUCUUGACGGUACCUAAUCAGAAAGCCACGGCUAACUACGUG
rnacentral:rRNA from 1 species